rnacentral:rRNA from 1 species
CCUACGGGUGGCUGCAGUGAGGAAUAUUGGUCAAUGGACGAGAGUCUGAACCAGCCAAGUAGCGUGAAGGAUGACUGCCCUAUGGGUUGUAAACUUCUUUUAUAUGGGAAUAAAAUGUUCCACGUGUGGGAUUUUGUAUGUACCAUAUGAAUAAGGAUCGGCUAACUCCGUGCCAGCAGCCGCGGUAAUACGGAGGUUCCGAGCGUUAUCCGGAUUUAUUGGGUUUAAAGGGAGCGUAGUGGGAUUGUUAAGUCAGUUGUGAAAGUUUGCGGCUCAACCGUAAAAUUGCAGUUGAAACUGGCAGUCUUGAGUACAGUAGAGGUGGGCGGAAUUCGUGGUGUAGCGGUGAAAUGCUUAGAUAUCACGAAGAACUCCGAUUGCGAAGGCAGUUCACUGGACUGCAACUGACACUGAGGCUCGAAAGUGUGGGUAUCAAACAGGAUUAGAUACCCGAGUAGUC